rnacentral:other from 2 species
ACCGGCCUGCAAAGCAGGUGUGGUGAUUAACGCUGGUUGAACCUACAUUCAUUGAACAGGGAGCUCGACUCGAUAAAUCGGCCCGGUGUGCAGCGUCCGCCAGUUCGGAAUGCCUAAAGGGCCGCGGAGAGUUCCCACCGUCUUAGGACGGGUUCACCGGCGCAUUGCUGCACGGCCCAGUGGGUCGGUU